rnacentral:rRNA from 1 species
UACGGAGGGAGCUAGCGUUGUUCGGAAUUACUGGGCGUAAAGCGCACGUAGGCGGCUUUGUAAGUUAGAGGUGAAAGCCUGGGGCUCAACUCCAGAAUUGCCUUUAAGACUGCAUCGCUUGAAUCAUGGAGAGGCGGGUGGAAUUCCGAGUGUAGAGGUGAAAUUCGUAGAUAUUCGGAAGAACACCAGUGGCGAAGGCGACUUACUGGACACAUAUUGACGCUGAGGUGCGAAAGCGUGGGGAGCAAACAGG